rnacentral:ncRNA from 1 species
UAAAAAUUUGAUUCUAGUUUUUAAAUUUAAUUUAUAUUUUUAUUAUAUGUAAAUUUUUGUGUUAAAAAUUUUUUAUAUAGAAAUUUUAAAAUUGUAGCAAUAAUUAGAUUUAUACAAUAAAAGAAAUUUUGAUAUAGAAAUAUAUAUUUAAGUAUUGAUAAAAUUUGUGCCAGCAAUCGCGGUUAAACAGAUAAUACAAUUAAAUUUUUAUCUAGUAAUAAUAAAUAUGUAUUUAAAUUAUAAUUUAAAGUUAAAUUUAUUAGGUGAAAUUAGAAAUUUAAAUAAAAUUAUUUUAUAAUAUAUGAAGUUAUGAAAUUCCAUUAUUAAACUAGGAUUAGAUACCCUAUUAUAAGGAAUGUAAAUUUAAAAUAUUAGGGGAGUAGUAGUUAUGUUCUUGAAAUUUAAAGAAUUUGGCGGUAUUUUAGUCUUUUCAGAGGAACCUGUCCUAUAAUUGAUGAUCCACGAUUAAUUUUACUUAAUUUACUAGUUUAUAUAUCGUCGUAGGUUGAAUAUCUUAUAAGAGAAUAAAUAUUCAUAAUUUAUAAUUAAUAAAGAAAAUCAGAUCAAGGUGUAGCUUAUAAUUAAGUAGAGAUGGGUUACAAUAAAUUUAUUUAUAUGGAUUUAAUAAUUAAAAUUAUUAAUGAAAGUGGAUUUGAAAGUAAUAUACUUUAAUUAAAAUAUAUGAUUUAAGCUCUAGAAUAUGUACAUAUCGCCCGUCGCUUUCAUUGAAUUUUAAGAUGAAAUAAGUCGUAACAUAGUAGGCGUACCGGAAGGUGUGCCUAGAUUGAC